GUCGUGUUUAUCUGUCCGUUUUUGUUUGUGUGUGUGGAGGCGUACUCGGCUGUUAGGCCUUAAGCAGGUUGAAGUUAAAACCCCAUUAAGGACGUGUCGGGCUUUUAACAGAACAACUAUACAGGCCAAGUCCAGUUUAGAUUCGUACUAUGGUGACCAGACUGACCUCACCCUCAUCCAACGCAGUUAUGGGUCCCUGAUUGAACUGUGAUUUGAUCUUAAAGCUACAUGUGAACUGAAGCAAGAUGUCCCUCUUGUACGAGAUAUACAGCGUGAAGCAUGUCCUCAAAAGGAAGAUGAAGCGAAACAAGACAACCAUCCUUCGCUAUAGUAUCUAUCUGUUGGUGAUUGGCGCUAUACUGCUCUUCUGGCCAUGGCCCAUGGGCACAGGACGAAGAUCCGAACUGGGUCGGAAAGCAGAUCUUUAUGGUGGGGAUUACCAUCUCCAGCAGGAAGCAGGAGAAAUGCUGCAGGGUCAACCCCACGCUCCCGCCCGUGACCAACCCGAACAACCAGUGCUAGAGCAGAGAGAGCAGGCCGUGGUCAAGCGAGGCGGGGCACUUCGCUUCCAGAAGCGGUUAGAA